rnacentral:rRNA from 1 species
GAUGAACGCUGGCGGCGUGCCUAAUACAUGCAAGUCGAGCGAACAGACGAGGAGCUUGCUCCUCUGACGUUAGCGGCGGACGGGUGAGUAACACGUGGAUAACCUACCUAUACGACUGGGAUAACUUCGGGAAACCGGAGCUAAUACCGGAUAAUAUAUUGAACCGCAUGGUUCAAUAGUGAAAGACGGUUUUGCUGUCACUUAUAGAUGGAUCCGCGCCGCAUUAGCUAGUUGGUAAGGUAACGGCUUACCAAGGCAACGAUGCGUAGCCGACCUGAGAGGGUGGUCGGCCACCCUGGAACGGAGACACGGUCCAGACGCCUACGGGAGGCAGCAGUAGGGAAUCUUCCGCAAUGGGCGAAAGCCUGACGGAGCAACGCCGCGUGAGUGAUGAAGGUCUUCGGAUCGUAAAACUCUGUUAUUAGGGAAGAACAAAUGUGUAAGUAACUAUGCACGUCUUGACGGUACCUAAUCAGAAAGCCACGGCUAACUACGUG